rnacentral:ncRNA from 1 species
GCUGUGUGACUGGCGGAUCAGUGGAAUUAACCACGGGGAGCACAGCCGAUAAAAGCCGACCGCCUGGGCA